UACGGGGGGGGCAAGCGUUGUUCGGAAUUACUGGGCGUAAAGGGCUCGUAGGUGGCCAACUAAGUCGGACGUGAAAUCCCUCGGCUUAACCGGGGAACUGCGUCUGAUACUGGAUGGCUUGAGUUCGGGAGAGGGAUGCGGAAUUCCAGGUGUAGCGGUGAGAUGCGUAGAUAUCUGGAGGAACACCGGUGGCGAAGGCGGCAUCCUGGACCGACACUGACGCUGAGGAGCGAAAGCCAGGGGAGCAAACGGG
rnacentral:rRNA from 1 species